UAUUCUGCGAAUAAAGCCCAAAUCCGAAACCCAAUUUUUAUCACAUCUGUUAGAAACUCGCAUGGAGUUAGGUUUUCCUCUUCCAUUUUCCUUUUGCGCCGCUACCUCCACGAUGAAAUCCCACGGAAGCUUAAAGCAACGUUACGAUCUACAUAACGUCUACAAAUCUUUUCCUAAAUCUGAAAUCGUCUUCAAACUCAUACAAACCCAUCGACAUGGCGACUUCUCGGGUUCGAGAACAACAAGCGACUGAUCGGACGUGCAUAAUAGGAAGAGGAAUAUCCACGCGCCGAAUAGUCACAUGAGAAAGAGGAGAGAGAAAUGAUGGGAGAGGAGCCAGAGCGCGAGCACAAGGGAGACGAUCGUCACGUAGUUCACUUUGAAGUAAGGGAGAUCCCUCCGGAUCCGAUAAUACGCAUCAGUAAGAGAUUCCGCCCUGAAAUUGCCCGUUGCUGCGAUAGGCUUUGGCGGAUCAAAGCCGAGAGGCGAGAGAGGAAAGUGCAGAACGCCGGUGUAGGAGACGGGUUAUGGUUUACGCUAUGGUAAAUCGAUCUCUCUCUGAAGCAACCCAUCCGUUUACAUCUUAACGUCAUGAUCUGGUGUAAAUAGCCUCACCAAAGAAUCUCUACCAUCCACGUGGACAUAGAAAGCAAUUCAGCACAAGUGUAACAUUAAUGUUUGUGGAACAUAAUCUAUAAAAGGACAGCUUUUGUAACACACGAUAGAUCCUAUUCUAGAGGUCCAGUUGGAAUCAAUGUUGGGGAGAUGAGUGAAUUGAGGCUUAUAAGAGUCCACACUAUACUAUUCGCUAAUGGUGGUGCAGAUAUACAUAUAAUGAGAGUUGGUGUUUAUGAAGAACAGUGGGUUAGUCCUUAAAAAUUAUGAAGACCAAAGGUACCAACGAUCUUUGUUUUUUUUCAUAUUUUCUGUUAUGUCAUUGUUCUCAGUAACAACGACGCACCACUGGAGUUAAAACCUUUCCUCACAAAGGAAACACACACAACCAGCAGAGCUAACAUGAUCAUGGAAAGUAUUUGAAGUGAGUGCAACUUCAAUCUAUGGAGACGAAUAUCAAAUGGACCUGUCAGGUUAAAGCAGAAAAUCUACCUACAUAUGGGUAUCUGUGCACAGAAGCUUUAAAGAUAAGGAACUUACUGAAAAGUUCAGUUCCGUUUGGAGAUUAAGAAAUGAUAGAUAUGAAGAUGUUUCUGUGAUGUGGCUUCCAUGUGAUGUGACUGCUUACGUCGAUAUGAAUAUAGAUGGAGGUGCUUAAGAGAAAAUCCACCUCUAUGGAACAUGGUGGUCCAGAGUGAAUCAGUCGACGAAGGAGAAGAAGAGAAAAUCUUCAGGUAGUGAAAGAGGAAGAUGAUAUUGAUACCAUUAAAGAAGCAGAGAAUGAAAGGAAUGAUGUCGAAGCUAAUCAUGAAGGUGAUUAUUGAAGCUACGCUUACAACAAUAAUUACAUGUGCACUUCUAACUAGGAUAACAACCUUCUUCAUAUUAUAGUCUUGAUUGUAACUUAAUCCUUGAUCUCAAACUAACUGUAACUAUACCCGUGGGAGUUGGUGGUUCCUCAUUCAAUGAUUUACUUUUAACUGA